GCUCAUUUCGGCAGCAUAUACUAAAAUUGGAAGGAUACAGAGAAGAUUAGCAUGGCCCCUGUGCAAGGAAUUCCUGAAGAGUUCCAUAUUAUA
rnacentral:snRNA from 1 species